rfam:Schistosoma rodhaini strain Burundi genome assembly, scaffold: SROB_scaffold0000318
AUCCAACUGACGAGUCGCAAAUAGGGCGAAACUCGCGUCUUAGAU